UUUGUUGGUGGGGUAAUGGCCUACCAAGACGAUGAUGUGUAGCUGGACUGAGAGGUCGAACAGCCACAUUGGGACUGAGACACGGCCCAAACUCCUACGGGAGGCAGCAGUAGGGAAUUUUCGGCAAUGGAGGAAACUCUGACCGAGCAACGCCGCGUGAACGAUGAAGUAUUUCGGUAUGUAAAGUUCUUUUAUUGAAGAAGAAAAAAUAGUGGAAAAACUAUCUUGACGUUAUUCAAUGAAUAAGCCCCGGCUAACUAUGUGCCAGCAGCCGCGGUAAGACAUAGGGGGCGAGCGUUAUCCGGAAUUAUUGGGCGUAAAGGGUGCGUAGGCGGUUAGGAAAGUCUAUAAUUUAAUUUCAGUGCUUAACGCUGUCUUGUUAUAGAAACUACCUUGACUAGAGUUAGAUAGAGGCAAGCGGAAUUCCAUGUGUAGCGGUAAAAUGUGUAAAUAUAUGGAGGAACACCAGAAGCGUAGGCGGCUUGCUGGGUCUUGACUGACGCUGAGGCACGAAAGCGUGGGUAGCAAACAGGAUUAGAUACCCUGGUAGUCCACGCCGUAAACGAUGAGUACUAAGUGUCGGGAUAAAACUCGGUACUGAAGUUAACACAUUAAGUACUCCGCCUGAGUAGUACGUACGCAAGUAUGAAACUUAAAGGAAUUGACGGGACUCCGCACAAGCGGUGGAUCAUGUUGUUUAAUUCGAAGAUACACGAAAAAUCUUACCAGGUCUUGACAUGCUCUGCAAAGCUAUAGAAAUAUAGUGGAGGUUAUCAGGGACACAGGUGGUGCAUGGUUGUCGUCAGUUCGUGUCGUGAGAUGUUAGGUUAAGUCCUAAAACGAGCGCAACCCUUGUCGUUAGUUACCAGCACGUAAUGGUGGGCACUUUAACGAGACUGCCAAUUAAACAUUGGAGGAAGGUGAGGAUUACGUCAAAUCAUCAUGCCCCUUAUGAUCUGGGCUACAAACGUGAUACAAUGGCUGUUACAAAGAGUAGCUGAAGCGCGAGUUUUUAGCCAAUCUCAAAAAAGCAGUCUCAG
rnacentral:rRNA from 1 species